rnacentral:rRNA from 1 species
AUUGAACGCUGGCGGCAGGCCUAACACAUGCAAGUCGAGCGCGCGGCGGACUGGUGAGUAAUGUAUGGGGACUGCCCGAUAGAGGGGGAUAACUACUGGAAACGGUGGCUAAUACCGCAUACUAUCGGAUAACCCAUAUGGGAUUAGCUAGUAGGUGGGGUAAAGGCUGACCUAGGCGACGACCUCUAGCUGGUCCGCGAGGAUGAUUAGCCAACUGGGGACUGAGACACGGCCCAGACUCCUACGGAGGCAGCAGUGGGGAAUAUUGCACUAUGGGCGCAAGCCUGAUGCAGCCGUGCCGCGUGUAGGAAGAAGGCCUUAGGGUUUUAAAGUACUUUCAGCGGGGAGGCGUUACCCGAAGAAGAAGCACCGGCUAACUCCGUGCCAGCAGCCGCGGUAAUUC